rnacentral:rRNA from 1 species
UUAUCUCCCCCAAGAGUUCACAUCGACGGGGAGGUUUGGCACCUCGAUGUCGGCUCAUCGCAUCCUGGGGCUGUAGUCGGUCCCAAGGGUUGGGCUGUUCGCCCAUUAAAGCGGUACGCGAGCUGGGUUCAGAACGUCGUGAGACAGUUCGGUCCCUAUCCGUCGCGGGCGUAGGAAAUUUGAGAGGAUCUGUCCUUAGUACGAGAGGACCGGGAUGGACAUACCGCUGGUGUACCAGUUGUUCCGCCAGGAGCAUCGCUGGGUAGCUAAGUAUGGAUGAGAUAAACGCUGAAAGCAUCUAAGUGCGAAACUCACCUCGAGAUAAGAUUUCCCAUUACGUAAGUAAGUAAGAUCCCUGAAAGAUGAUCAGGUAGAUAGGAUGGAAGUGGAAGUGCUGCGAGGCAUGGAGCGGACCAUUACU